GACGAACGCUGGCGGCGUGCUUAACACAUGCAAGUCGAACGGAAAGGCCCUGCUUUUGUGGGGUGCUCGAGUGGCGAACGGGUGAGUAACACGUGAGUAACCUGCCCUUGACUUUGGGAUAACUUCAGGAAACUGGGGCUAAUACCGGAUAGGAGCUCCUGCUGCAUGGUGGGGGUUGGAAAGUUUCGGCGGUUGGGGAUGGACUCGCGGCUUAUCAGCUUGUUGGUGGGGUAGUGGCUUACCAAGGCUUUGAAGGGUAGCCGGCCUGAGAGGGUGACCGGGCACAUUGGGACUGAGAUACGGAGCAGAAGGCUACGGGAGGCAGCAGUGGGGAAUAUUGCACAAUGGGCGGAAGCCUGAUGCAGAAACGCCGCGUGCGGGAUGACGGCCUUCGGGUUGUAAACCGAUUUCGCCUGUGACGAAGCGUGAGUGACGGUAAUGGGUAAAGAAGCACCGGCUAACUACGUG
rnacentral:rRNA from 1 species